AGCCAGUUUCAGGAAAUUUAUGGAGGAUUUGGGGAUCGCAAAAGUCAUGGGACCUGAUUCAAUUAAAACGGAAAAGCACCAACACAGUUUUAAAAUAAGCUUAAAAUAUGGCUGAAGGAUAUUUUGGCUUCUCUGAUUCUAUUCCUGAGCUUCUAUUCUGUGUAGUGUGACGGUGGCUGUCCUGCCUCCUCUCCAGCCCUUAACACAGAUAGCAGGAGACAGCGGAAGACACUCGGGAGUCUGUCAGAGCCCACCAAAGGCUCUGACACAGGGGUAGGACCAGGAGUUCUCGGGCACGGGUGUAAAAGCGCAGAGCUUGCCAUGCGAUCCAUGCAGGGCUCUGUGGUUUCACAGCACCCCCAGGGUACCAGACCCGGAGUAGCCUGACUUUCAGAAGGCAGCCUGGGUCCCUCCAGGCUCGCAGGCUGCUCGCUCCAGCUCUCUGGUGCUGACUAUGCCUAGAACGAGCAGAAACCCCUGCCGUGUUUUCUCCUGGAAGGAGGACGAGACUGUGCCAGUUCUAAUCCAUGGGUGCGGUGCCCAGAGAAGCACAUGCUGGAACGCAGGACGGAAGCUGGGAGGUGAAGGCCCCAACUGCAUCGGCACAGGACCAGGGUCUUCACUCCUUGUGAAUAUCACACUGAUGCUUGGGUGGGCUGAAGGAGUCAUUCUUAAGUCAGUAGGGUCCCAUCAAGUCAGGUCUAGCUCAUUGCUAGGGUGGGACACACUACAGUAGCUGGCUCCUAGGCGAGGGCUCUUGGGAAGAGCAGGUGGCCAUCUUAGCACACAAGGGGUACAUGACCGAGAUGUCAGAGCUCAUUGCUUCCCUUGUGCCUUGGCUGACUAAUCAUUAACUUUCCUGUUUCCUUUCCCACUGAGAUUUCUGCAUCUUGGCAUCUAUCAAAAUGGUGCUGGGAUGAAUCUUGCUCAUUCACAAAAGACUACAGGCCCCAGUUCAGUAAGUAUGUGGAAGUCCGUGCAAUCACUUUUCUUCUCCCCUUCUUUCUAAAUACACUAAAGACCCCUAGCAGAUAUUUAAGAAACCUUACACGGGCUAUGAAAACUGAGUUUUAGUAGCAUGACAAUAAAUAUCAUUUGAUAAAGUUGUUUUCUGAAUCAAUCACAACAGGGUAACCCAAAUAGCUAAAAUCGGGGAAGAGAGAGGCUAAAAUCCCCCAAUCAAGAGAAGCUCUCGGGUGUUGCUAGGAAUUCCUGCUCUUAAGCAAAAAUUGCAGCAGGAAUGCUUGUACCCUUUGUGAAGUGGGAAAUAAAGGGCUUCAGCUCUCUGGAUCUACAGGGGCUCUGUGACUGCAUUGAUUCCUCCCGGAAAGAGGAGGAGGCAAGGGCUGUCUGCCCACUGCACACGAGGCUUAGUCUCCAUGGUGUUUCCUACUUUCCCAGGCCCACCACAGCAACAGGAGUGGUUCACUGCCAGCCAACAAGGGGGCUGUCCUUGGUGGGAACUCUGCCUGAGUAGCAGGGAGGACUGGAACUACAUUGCUGGUGGUCGUACCCAGAUAACCACCAAGUCAUUUAGUGGGAUCUGAGUCAUAUGCCCAGGGAGAGUGGCAGACUGGUUUGGAUUAUGGCUUGGACACCAGGAUCCUUUGGAACUCUGGAUUAGUUCCAUUGCACAGCUAAAGUCUGGAGCUGUCACUCCACACCUGUCAUCUGCAGCCUGCAGAAGGAGAAGAUUCACCAGGAUAUAUUCAGAUGAGCGAGGUAACUGACUACCAUAUACUCAUAUAACCAGGAUACUGCAAAGAUGCCCAGGGCAGGCCCAGGGCCAGCCCAGCCAUAUCGCCGCUCACACAGCUGCCACCAUCUGCUGCAGGGAACAAGAGUUCCUAACUCCUGUAAGUAAAGUACAUCCUAGGCUGGCCUGUGCUAAGGCAUUCUGGGAGAACAUACACUGCCCCCUUGGGAUCGGGGGAUGCCCAGGGGUGGGUGCCAGGAAGUAGGGCAGGAGCACAAGUGUCCUGAACAUCGAAUGGUCUGAAACAAGGAGUGGCUGUGCACACACCGCUCUCCCAGGGAGAUCCGUACCAUAAACCCGACCAUAAAACUAGCUUCCUUGGCUCAUUCUGCACCAGCUCCCAGUUUUAUUGCUCACACAGCACUCAUACCCUGAGAAGGACAGCACAUUUGCAUAGAACUCUGCUUCACAUUGGUCUCUUCAAGGAAGCACUGCAGAGUGCAAUAAACGUCAUAUGCCUUCCUGGAGCACUUGCCUGCAGACAAGAAGGACUCCCUGCGAAAGGGGUUCUUAUAUAACAUAGACCAUGGCUGCCAGGGAAGAUGUGGCUGAAGAGCGAAUUCCUAAGCUACCUAAAGGCAUCUACAAAGGCCUGGGAUCUCCGUACUUCCUGCAGUGACUAACCUCUGCUGAGCUUUAAGUGACCAAACACACGUGGCACUGGAGGUGGGCCUUGGACCUGCUCCCUGCUCUGCACCUUUAAAUGAUGAAGAAGGGUAAAGCAUGGCAGAUCGCAGUGCUGUAGGGGUCAUCCAUCCACUUAGGGAAAGCCAUCAGAGAAGUCAAGAAAUAACUUCUCCAGAUAAACCCCUGCCUGGGGCCAAGAACAAAGAAAAGGAUGGAGACAAAGUAUCUGUCUCUCUUAGGUGUUGUGUGAGGAGAGCAGGCCCACUGUUGGAGCCACUGUCCAAGAACUUGUCCUAGAUUGCAGAAAGCAUCACAUGAGCUAAACCAUUACCAAGAAAAGAUAGGUCAAGGGGCCGUGGAAAGAGCAGGUUAGAUAUACACCUCCCGCCACCCGUCUCUCUCUCUCUCUCUCUCUCUCUCUCUCUCUCUCUCUCUCUCUGGUAUGGGGACAGGCCUUCCUUGUGAGAGACAGCUGCAGAUACGGCCUGUAUAUAACCACUAUCUUAGAGCUGUGCCUUUCAGGGCUGAAGCAGCUUCUCAUGAAAACAAUUUCAAAGCAACCUGGAAGUAAAAUGUCUCCAGAGGAGAUGACCAGACAUCACUGCCUACAUGGCAAGAGUUAAGACAAAAUGUCAUGGCAGCACCCUCUGUAUGGUAUGGGGGGCCUAGGACAAAUGUGUCUAGGACAGGCAUUACGCAUCUGUAAUCACAGAGUCUCAGCAGUAAACACUUGUCUGGGAGAAUGCCUUUGCUCUCUUCAUGUCCCAGCUCUUGUGUACAUUAAGCAGAAUAAUUUAUUUUAGCCAGGAUAACCAUCCUCCUCUUGUAUUGUGUCCUCUGAAGGCAGCUCGUUGUAGAGCAUCAGUCCUCCACUUCACCGAGCAAGGAGCUUCGACCAGGGCCCUGCCCCCACAAGUACGGACUGUCUCCAGGACCACACAGACACAGCUAUGUGACUGCCAGUCGGAGACAAGAAAAAAAAUAAAAGACACCUUGGAGAAACAUCAGCUACCCAUACUGACGACAUCUGCGUUGCCGUGACCAGGUCUCUGACAGCAACAACUUAGCAGGAGGAAUUAUUUCUUGUGGUUCACUGUUUUAGAGGUUCCAGUCCCCCGGUGCGGAGGGUGGCUCACAGGAAAGCAGAGCUCAUCUCAGGAAAGGGGAGAAGCCACCUCCAGCAAGUGGCUGGAGUCCUCCUGGCCUUCCCCUUGGACCUGCGCCACGGUCUGGGUACUCCCUCAGAUUUGGCUAAUCCUCUCUAGAGUACCCUCAUACCCAUGUUCUCACUUCACCAAUCCCCUUCAAUCUAACUCCCAUCAGCCUGACCAUCAAAUGUAGCCAUCACCGCACCUAACCAAGGGGAACAUGGGAACAUGUAUGGGGCAUCAUCUUGGCUCUGGUCUUGUCUCUUAUCACCUUUGUUCUGAUUCUGUAAUCCCAUGCUAUCUGGCAAAAUUAAGAAAGCUAGGUAGCUUGCCUAGAGUCACUUCCCUGGUCUGGGUUGAAAUCUUGGUAAUUAACAGGUGCCCCGACAAGCAGCAAGUCUUCCUCAGGCCUCCGUCCGCACCAGCUCGAGUGCACCGCACCUCACGCAAAUGCUAUUCCAACUGAACACCUUCCAUCUACCCAUCAGCUCUAAGAGACAGGUACCCCCAUGAACCCGGCACAUGGCUUGGAGUCCAUUCCCAUCAGUAAGAGCCAGGUUCUCAGCCUGCAGAACCUUGGGCCUUGACUUUAGCUUCUAAUCACUUCUCUGUCUUUUCCUGAGAUGUGCCAUACCAUCUAGUUUUAAACCGUACUGAUUAACAGGCAGAAAAUUGUCAAAAUAGCUUGGGUUUUUAGGAUGAAUACUUUAAAUACUAUAAAUCCACUCCUUGUGGGGAGUGAUCGUUUGGUGCGGCUUCUGCUGAUUGCUCGGUAUCUCUCCAAGACUGCGAUGUGCACAGACUAUUUUGGUCUCGGUUAAUAUAUAGCACUGCAUAAACACUGAGUCAACAGGAGGGGCUGAACAAUAAAUUAUCACUAGUCCAAGUGCUAAAAUAGCACCCGCUUUCUCUCUGCCUGAGCGUGCUAUCUAUUUAUGGUUCGCUUACUUCUGCGGAGUUCUAAGCCUUUAUAUACAUUUCAUCAUAGUUAUACUUAUGCACAUAUAUCAUCUUUAUUAUACACACACGUGUCUAAUGCACCCCUCCCUGCCUACCGUUUACUACGGGACUCUCGGUUUCCAGCUAACUUUUGAAUCCAUGACACUGUCUGCCUUUAGCUUAUGAUCAGUGGAAGAGUGGAUGUAGGCUGACAAUAAAAAGAGAUUUAGUUCACUGGUUAUGUUUUAGCAAAUCCAUUCAGUGCAUGAAGCGAUUACUUCCAGUAUCGAAUACUAAGCAUGUUGUUCUAUGUGCAUAUGCAUUGUAUACAUGUGUGUACAUGUAUGUGUGUGGGCAUGCUUGUGUGUGUGUGUGUGUGUGUGUGUGUGUGUGUGUGUGUGUGUGUGUGUGUAUGGAGACUGAGGGUCUAAGUCUGUUUCUUCCUCUAACUCCCUCCAUAUUGUCUUGUGAGAUAGCAUAUCUCAUUGAACUGGAAGUGAGGCACCAGACUGGAGGGCCAGAAAGCCUCCAGGAUCCAUCUGUCUCUGCCCCCUCCCCAACACUAGCUUUACAAACAAACAUUGCUACACCCCACUUUUACCUAAGUGCUGGGAACCAAAGCUCAGAUCUUCACACUCAUGUUGCAAACGUUCUCCUUACCCACUUAGCUAUCUCUUCAGUCUUCACACAUUAUUGUGGGCCUGUGGCUUCACUUUCCAAAGUGUGAACCAUUGCUCUUCUUUUGUCCUUCUGUUUCCUCCCCUCCCCUCCUCUACCUCCCCUCCCUUCUCUUUCCUUUCCUCUUCUCUCUUUUCUCUCUUUUCUUUCUUUUCUUUUCUUUUCAUAGAGGUCUGUACUCUGGGACACGUGACUCUCCAAAUUCCACCUUCACCAUUUCAGUUUCAAGGGCAAAAAACACAUCUAGAGAAAGAUUUUUCCUAAGAAAGCUUUCCUUGUGUAGCUAGAGAAUACUCUAAACUGUGUCCAUACAGUGGAAAACGAGGUUUAUACUGUCAAGAGCUAACAGAGCCAAGAUUCAGUAGAACACCUCAUAUGAAGAGGACUAAAGGCAGAUCUGUCAUUUGGGGUUUCGGUUGGUGACGAAUCACAACGGCCCAACUGUUAGCAGGGGAACUCGGCCUUCUUUCUUCUUCUCCUAUGAAUAUUGCUUUUCAUUACUGAAAACAGAAACUGGAGCCCUAUGCAUUUCCCUAUUUUGCAAAAUGGGUAUUAUACCAACAAUCUGUUUCAAAAAUAGCACUGAGCGUUUUAUUUCACUUGAGUCUCCAAAGAGUUCCUAGGCGUGUCCUUAACUAGUGUUAAUUUAGGAAAAAAGGACAGGUAUGGCCACAUAAGAGAGAUAAAAGGUUCACAGACAGCCACGGUAUCAUUGACGGCAUCGGGGAAAUACUUUGGAGUAAAUCUAUUCAUUCUAUAAAUGUUUUUCCAGUAUACCUAUUAGGACAAACCAAGAACUAAGCUCUCUGUGGUCAAUAUCCCCACAGAAGACAAAGCCCAAUCCAGAGGCCUGCCACUCUGCAGAAGUGCCUUGCUCUCUGUACUCCUGCCCCAUACACAUUGUCACCAUUCUAGGGACCCGGGCACCUUUGCCACCUCUGCUCCAAGAUGCAAAUUAGUUCUUUUCUCCAAAAAGCCAUUGCUAAACCCGGGUUGGACACCUACUUUAUGCCUGUGUGUCUGUUUGUCCAUCCUGCUUAUCCCAUUCACUAAAACCAAGCAAACUUCAACAGAGUCCUGUCUCAGUAACCAGCAGAAGGAGGGAUACCGGCCGAGAUGGAAGGAUGCAGGGCACGCAAUGUCAUCCUAGGAUCACUUCAGUAACUGCUACCCCACCACCCUGGGUUUGCACAGCCUGUGCAACAGUAGAAAUCUCUUAAAUCAAAACCAGGCCCUGUCUAGCAUUAGCUCAACUAAUAAAAAUUACAUCACUUGAAUGAUUCUAAAA